rnacentral:piRNA from 1 species
UGUCUAAGGACUUUGAAUAUUUCUUUUAAGU